rnacentral:rRNA from 1 species
UACGAAGGGUGCUAGCGUUGUUCGGAAUUACUGGGCGUAAAGCGCACGUAGGCGGCUUGGCAAGUCGGAUGUGAAAUCCCUCGGCUCAACCAAGGAAGUGCAUCCGAAACUGCUGAGCUUGAGUACUUAAGAGGAUCGCGGAAUUCCCGGUGUAGAGGUGAAAUGCGUAGAGAUCCGGAGGAACACCAGAGGCGAAGGCGGCCUACUGGGCUGCACCUGACGCUGAGCCGCGAAAGCUAGGGGAGCGAACGGG